AGAGCUGCCAUGUUCCUUCUAUGUAGACUGGUGCAGGGCGUGAGGCUCUGUCACAGCUCCUGCCUCUGGUGGCCUUGUCUGCUGGCUCACCUUGUUGGUGUGGGCAGCCGCUGGGUCACUGCUCCUCCAGUCCCGACUGGAGCCUCUUUCAGCUUCUUUAGGAUACCGACUUCCUUGAAUUUGGAGACUUUUGAUUCCAAUCUGUCCUUUGGUUCCAGCUUCGUGCUCGUGGCUUCCAGUUUGUCUUUGCUGUCCCCCAUCUUCACUUCCAGAUUACCUGCCCUACACACUUCAGGCUGCAGGACCAGCAGUACAUAGACUGUUUAACCAGCUCCCCAAAUUAUUUAGUGACUAUAAGUCCCUAUUUUACAUUGCUCCUAGUGGUGCUGUUUCUUCUCUGAUUGAACCCUAACAGAUACACUGGAACAGAGAGAGGACACUCCAUCUAAGAACAGACAAUGGACAAGCCAAGAGGGAUCCAGGAACUAAGCCUGAAGGAGAAAAAAAACGUGCUGGAGACUCAAGAUGUUCUGGCUGAGAAAACCAGGGGCUGUUAGGGUGACGCACUCUUCAGGGGAAGAAAGAUCAACCAAACUGUGGUGACUUUUUGUGCCAUCCUCAACGCAGGGUCACACAAGCACCAUCAAUUUCAAGGAUGGAUGUUAACAAGCCUGCCUGGUCUGAGCUCAGCCCCUCCACUUACCAGCUGGGGGACCUUGAGCAAGUCACUUACUGGGUCUUUGCUUCAGUUCACUCAUACGUAAAAUGGAGAUGAAAUUGUACCUACCUCAUUGGUUGCUGGGAGAGUUACAAGAGUUAAUACUUACAUUAGUGAGCUGUCUUUCCCAGGAAGUCAAGGUCUGGACAUCAAGAUUCAGCCUCACGAGGCCAAAUGCAGACUGAAGAUUAGCCCUGAGCUAACUACCGCCAAUCCUCCUCUUCUCGCUGAGAACGACUGGCCCUGAGCUAACAUCUAUUCCCAUCUUCCUCUACUUUAUACAUCGGAUGCCUACCACAGCAUGGCUUUUUGCCAAGCGGUGCCAUGUCCGCACCUGAGAUCCAAACCGGCAAACCCUGGGCCACCGAGAAGCAGAACGUGC
rnacentral:lncRNA from 1 species